rnacentral:rRNA from 1 species
GACGAACGCUGGCGGCGUGCCUAAUACAUGCAAGUCGAGCGCAGGAAACUGACGGAACUCUUCGGAGGGAAGGCAGUGGAAUGAGCGGCGGACGGGUGAGUAACACGUAAGGAACCUGCCUCAAGGAUUGGGAUAACUCCGAGAAAUCGGAGCUAAUACCGGAUAGUUCAACGGACCGCGUGGUCCGCUGAUGAAAGGCGCUCCGGCGUCACCUUGAGAUGGCCUUGCGGUGCAUUAGCUAGUUGGUGGGGUAACGGCCCACCAAGGUGACGAUGCAUAGCCGACCUGAGAGGGUGAUCGGCCACACUGGGACUGAGACACGGCCCAGACUCCUACGGGAGGCAGCAGUAGGGAAUCUUCCACAAUGGACGAAAGUCUGAUGGAGCAACGCCGCGUGAGUGAUGAAGGUUUUCGGAUCGUAAAACUCUGUUGUAAGGGAAGAACACGUACGAGAGGGAAUGCUCGUACCUUGACGGUACCUUACGAGAAAGCCACGGCUAACUACGUGCCAGCAGCCGCGGUAAUAC